UACACGAGUACGUCACUCUGGCUGCUUCCUGGAUUGAUGACUGACCCUACAGACCAACACGAGUGUUUCCAGCGUGCUUUGUCCUCACUCACACGCAUCCUGGGAAAACUUCCCAGGAGGUCACCCAUCUUAAAAUUGCUCCAGGUCAAGCACGCUUAACUGUGGAGUUCUUUCGUGAUGGGCUACCGAAAAACAAAAUGCACCUUGUUGAUAUAGGUAGUACCAAUCAAUCCAUUUAAGCUCUAUUCAACUGUGUAGUCCCAUACCUACACAGUCUUAGAAUCAUCCCACUUGACCUUCCCUAGGCGGUGUGAGAUUGUACAGCUUACCCGGUAUUUCCCCUUACGGAUCACGGGACUACUGACUGUCACAAGUAUGAAACCCUUUUAUCCCGAUUUUUAAUUAAAAACCGGGAUAAAAAGUGUUUCCCUAAAAACACUUUCAUCUCGCGAAAUCGCAUAUAUAUCUGCUUUAACCUCAACAGAAACCCUCCCAAACUCAGAAACCCUCGCCCAAACCCAGAAACCCUCGCCAGCAAACCCAUGUUAGCCUCCAUCUCGCCCAUACCAGAAUCGCCCAAACCCAGCUGCUCAAACGGUUAAUGGUAAACUUUGUUUCUUUAUUAUUUUUCCCUAUUUUGCGUUUUUCCACCAUUUUUUUUGUUAAUAAUGUCUUCUAGUUCAGGGAUUAUUUAUUAUGUAUCAUUUUUUUUUACCUUUUUAGUUCUUAAAGAUUUGAUUUUUAUAAUAUUUGAAUGAGUUAUUGAUAGAAUUUUUUAUGAGCUCCCUUUGCCAAUUGUUGUACAUCUUCUGCGAGUGGGACUUGUCUCUGCAAUAAUUUUUUUUUUCUCUUGUUGCUACUUUCAUGGUUGUUUCUUUAUUAUAUUCCAUAUAAUUUUAUCAACCGAAGGGUCUCUAGGAAGAAGUUAUAGCAGCAGUAGCUUGUGCUCAGGGGGAAGUAUUGACAACAAGUAAGCUUGAAUAAUGUUGUUUCAAAUUUUGUGAACUAGAAACAAUAGAAACUUGAGAAAAGAAGGAAUGAAAUUCUAAUGCUUACUAGUGACAAGUAGAAUACUGCUAUACUUAUUGCUCUAAUUUAUUGUAAUUUUGUUUCAAGAGAUAGUCAAACUAACAAGAUUGUUAAGUUUGUGUUUUAUUUGUAUUAUUGUUUGAAGUAGCCUAAAAUUAUUAUCUCAAAGAUAAAAUAAAUUUUGUUCAUUUACUUAUAACAUAUUAUGGACUCUACUUUAUGCAUAAGAGUGAUUGUCAUUUAAUUAUGACUUCUGUAAAGGUACUCAUAGAAUUCGUAUGUUUUAAUUUGAAAGUAUUGCUAUUCAAAACUUAAUUUGCUAUGCUAUUUUAAUUUGAUAUAUACUUACGACUAGUUUUAAUAUGGAUGUAAAUUGUCACAGAAUAAUUGCAAUGUAAUGUGAGGUAUCCAUAAAAGAACAUGAUGUCCUUUCAACAAGCUUUAUAAAAUGUGUUUUAUCAGUACAUACCAAGAAAUCGCAAGAAGGUGAGCUUUAAUUUUUCUUUAUUUAUAUUUCUAAUUCUAUUCAAAAUAUAAGAUGAAAAAAUAUUGUACUCAUACCUUAUCUAUGAAAAUCUCUUGAAAUGACCACAAUAUAAGGUGGCUAUUUUUUUUUAAUUUGAAAUGUGUAGAUGAAUCUUGUUGAAAGAACCAUUGUGUAUAUAUAAAUAAGUAAAAUUUGUUUCCACUAAGAUUAUAUUUGAUUAGGAACAAUAUUUUUAAAUGACCAUCAUUAGAUUGCAAUCAUGUAUAUGAGGCACGCAAUCAAGCAUUAGAAAUAUUUCAAGAUAAUGAGGUGACUUUCAAUUGCCAAUAAUAAAUCAAUUAUCUAUUGAACUAGUAGGUGUUACUAGUUUUUAAAAUUGUUGGUUUCAUACAUAUAGAGAAAGAGUAGAUUGCUUAUGGUCUUCCUUUACUAGUUGGGCCACACUUUACGUUGAUUAAUUUUCCAAGUUAAUAAUGUUUAAGGUCAUGUUUAAUCCAUUUUAAGAUUUUUUAUUAUUUUAUUCUCAGGUUGUAAUUAUUGAAGAAGAAACAUAAUAGAAGGAAAGAGAGUGAAUGCUAAUCAUAGGAUCGCAUAUUCAAUUCCAAUGAUCAAUGGUGAAAGUGAUCAUUACAUAGUUACCAAAAAUCUUAAAAUUCAAAGAUUCAACGAGACUCUUCUUGGAACUAUGUUAUUGGAACAAUUGCUAUGAGGGACUAUAUAAGCUGCAACCAUUGUCUUUCUCUUUUCUGUUGCGGAGUGGGUGGUGUCAAGGGCAAGCACAAGGAUAAAGUCACAAGUAUAGGAAAGUGAGGAAAAAAAGAUAGCUCAUGGGAGGAAUAUUGUGCAUUUUCUUUACUUUUGUAACUUGGAAGAUUUAUGGUAUUAACUAUGUGUUAAUGUUGGUAUAUAUAAAGUUAUAAUGGUAUGAAUGUAUGUAAAAAAUAUUUUAUUUAUCAUUUGUAAAUAAUUUUGUUGGUGCAAUAAAUUUUAUUUGUUUUCCAAUAAAAAACUGUACAUAUAUGUGAAAUAUAUAUUAUAUAGGCAGUAUUAAUAUAUAUACAUAACAUAGGCAGAAUAUGCAUGUAUUAAAAAAUAAGACUUUGUAUCCCAGCUUUUAUAGAAAAAGUGGGAUAAAAGGGUACAUUUUAUCCCAGUUUUUCAUAACAAGUGGGAUAAAAAGUACCAUUUUAUCCCACUUUUUUCAAAAAACUGGGAUAAAACGGGUACUUUUUAUCCCGAUUUUCAUUAAAAAAUUGGGAUAAAAAGUACCCCUUUUAUCCCGGUUUUUUAAUACCUUUUAUCCCACUGGCAUACAUCCCGAUUUUUAUUUUAGCGAAAACCGGGAUAAAAAGCCUUAAAAACCGGGAUAAAAGGCCUUUUCUUGUAGUAGUCCCAUCCUACAACCGAUCCGAUCCGAUUGGAUUUUCAAAUUUACAUCCCAUCCGAUCCAAUUAUAAUUGGAUAUCCAAUUCUAUUGGAUCGAUCGGUUAUAAUUGGAUUGAAUGACUUUCUGCACACCCUUAUUUGUAACUGACACUCAUUAAAACUCUACAAAAUAAACUUCAAUAAUGUAAAAUUUCUCAUAGAAGCAUAGAGAUAAAAGGUUCAAGAACAAGAGGGUUGAGCCAAAUCUUAAUCAACUUCUGAAAUCAUAAAUAUCUUAGUUCCCAUAGAUAUUUGGGGUCUUUUCACACAAUAACCAUUGAAGAUUACUGUUACUUUCUUAUUGUGACCACACCCGCUUUACUUGAGUAUAUAUGCUUAAAUAUAAAUUUGAUGUUCACACUAUUAUUCUACAAAAUUAUGCUUAUGUACUAAAUCAAUUUUCUAUCACCAUUAAGGAAAUUUGAUGUGAUAAUGUAAAGGAACUUAACUUGCACACUUUUUUUGCUACUAAAGUGUAUUGUUCCCUUUCAUUUUUAUGUUGAGAGACCUCACCAAAACUUCAUUGUUGAGUGCAAACAUCAACAUAAUUUAAA